rfam:Ictidomys tridecemlineatus contig073050, whole genome shotgun sequence.
GGGAAUAUUGCUCAAUGGUAGAGGUCUUGUCUGACAAGCAUGAGGCCCUGGGUUCGACCCCCAGCACCA